CGGAUUGCAGGCUGCAACUCGCCUACAUGAAGCUGGAGUUGCUAGUAAUCGCGAAUCAGCAUGUCGCGGUGAAUACGUUCCCGGGCCUUGUACACACCGCCCGUCACACCAUGAGAGUUGGCAAUACCCAACGUACGUGAUCUAACCCGCAAGGGAGGAAGCGUCCUAAGGUAGGGUCAGCGAUUGGGGUGAAGUCGUAACAAGGUAGC
rnacentral:rRNA from 1 species